UACAGAGGUCUCAAGCGUUUGUUCGGAUUCAUUGGGCGUAAAGGGUGCGUAGGCGGCGCGGUAAGUCGGGGUGUGAAAAUCUCGGAGCUUAACUCCGAAACUGCAUUCGAUACUGCCGUGCUUGAGGACUGGAGAGGAGACUGGAAUUUACGGUGUAGCGGUGAAAUGCGUAGAUAUCGUAAGGAAGACCAGUGGCGAAGGCGGGGUCUCUGGACAGUUCCUGACGCUGAGGCACGAAGGUCAGGGGGAGCAAAACGGGG
rnacentral:rRNA from 1 species